rnacentral:rRNA from 1 species
AGCGAACGCUGGCGGCAGGCCUAACACAUGCAAGUCGAACGAACCCUUCGGGGUUAGUGGCGGACGGGUGAGUAACACGUGGGAACGUACCUUUAGGUUCGGAACAACACAGGGGAAACUUGUGCUAAUGCCGAAUGUGCCCUUCGGGGGAAAGAUUUAUCGCCUUUAGAGCGGCCCGCGUCUGAUUAGCUUGUUGGUGAGGUAAAGGCUCACCAAGGCUUCGAUCAGUAGCUGGUCUGAGAGGAUGAUCAGCCACACUGGGACUGAGACACGGCCCAGACUCCUACGGGAGGCAGCAGUGGGGAAUCUUGCGCAAUGGGCGAAAGCCUGACGCAGCCAUGCCGCGUGAAUGAUGAAGGUCUUAGGAUUGUAAAAUUCUUCUACCGGGAAGAUAAUGACGGUACCCGGAGAAGAAGCCCCGGCUAACUUCGUGCCAGCAGCCGCGGUAAU